UGAACGACUCUCGGCAACGGAUAUCUCGGCUCUCGCAUCGAUGAAGAACGUAGCGAAAUGCGAUACUUGGUGUGAAUUGCAGAAUCCCGUGAACCAUUGAGUUUUUGAACGCAAGUUGCGCCCGAGGCCAUUCGGUCGAGGGCACGUCUGCCUGGG
rnacentral:rRNA from 1 species